GGAGCUUGCUCCCAAAGAUUAGCGGCGGACGGGUGAGUAACACGUGGGUAACCUGCCUGUAAGAUUGGGAUAACUCCGGGAAACCGGAGCUAAUACCGGAUAAUAUUUUGAACCGCAUGGUUCAAAAUUGAAAGACGGCUUUUACCUGUCACUUACAGAUGGACCCGCGGCGCAUUACCUAGUUGGUGAGGUAACGGCUCACCAAGGCAACGAUGCGUACCCAACCUGAAAGGGUGAUCGGCCACACUGGGACUGAAACACGGCCCAAACUCCUACGGGAGGCAGCAGUAGGGAAUCUUCCGCAAUGGACAAAAGUCUGACGGAGCAACGCCGCGUGAACGAUGAAGGCCUUCGGGUCGUAAAGUUCUGUUGUUAGGGAAAAACAAGUACCAAAGUAACUGCUGGUACCUUGACGGUACCUAACCAAAAAGCCACGGCUAACUACGUGCCACCACCCGCGGUAAUACUUAGGUGGCAAGCGUUGUCCGGAAUUAUUGGGCGUAAAGCGCGCGCAGGCGGUUUCUUAAGUCUGAUGUGAAAGCCCACGGCUCAACCGUGGAGGGUCAUUGGAAACUGGGGAACUUGAGUGCAAAAAAGGAGAGUGAAAUUCCACGUGUAGCGGUGAAUUGCGUAGAGAUGUGAAGGAACACCAUUGGCGAAGGCGACUCUCUGGUCUGUAACUGACGCUGAGGCGCGAAAGCGUGGGGAGCGAACAGGAUUAGAUACC
rnacentral:rRNA from 1 species